GAUGAACGCUGGCGGCGUGCCUAAUACAUGCAAGUCGAGCGAACAGACGAGGGGCUUGCUCCUCGGACGUUAGCGGCGGGCGGGUGAGUAACACGUGUAUAACCUACCUAUAAGACUGGGAUAAAUUCGGGAAACCGGAGCUAAUACCGUAUAAUAUAUUGAACCUCAUGGUUCAAUAGUAAAAGACGGUUUUGCUGUCACUUAUAGAUGGAUCCGCGCCGCAUUAGCUAGUUGGGAAGCUAACGGCUUUCCAAGGCGACGAUGCGUAGCCGAACUGAGUGGGUGAUCGGGCACACUGGAAGUUGGACACGGUCCAGACACCUCAGGUAGGCACCAGUAGGGAAUCUUACGCAAUGGGCGAAAGCGUGACGGAGCAACGCCGCGUGAGUGCUGACGGUGUUCGGAUCGUAAAACCCUGUUAUUAGGGAAAAACAAAUGUGUAAGUAACUAUGAACGUCUUGACGGUACCUAAUAAGAAAGCAACGGCUAACUACGUG
rnacentral:rRNA from 1 species